rnacentral:tRNA from 1 species
AAAAAUUUAGUUAAAAAUAUAACAUCAACUUGUCAAGUUGAAAUUAUCAGAAAGAUAGUUUUUU